UGAGUAACGCGUGAGAAUCUACCUUUUGGUUUGGGAUAACAGCUGGAAACGGCUGCUAAUACCGGAUGUGCCGCAACGUGAAAGAUUUAUCGCCAAAAGAAGAGCUCGCGUCUGAUUAGCUAGUUGGUGAGGUAAAGGCUCACCAAGGCUGCGAUCAGUAGCUGGUUUGAGAGGAUGACCAGCCACACUGGGACUGAGACACGGCCCAGACUCCUACGGGAGGCAGCAU
rnacentral:rRNA from 1 species